GGCCCUCUGUGCGGAAGAGAUAGAGGGUCUGGCCUGCCCGGUGACGUGUGUUAAACGGCUGCGGUAUUCUGGACCGUGCAAAGGUAGCGUAAUCAUUUGCCCAUUAAUUGUGGGCUAGUAUGAAUGGCUUGACGAGGGUGUAGCUGUCUCUUUAUAAUUGUAUGGAAAUUAUUUUCUGGGUGAAGAAACCCAGAUAUGACUGAGGGACGAUAAGACCCCGUCGAGCUUUAGUGGGAUUUUGGAGAUUGUGAACAUGUUUUGUGUAAGUCACAAUAUCUAGGUGAAUCUUUGGUUGGGGCGACCGAGAAGUAAAAGGAACCUUUUGUUUAGAUUUAAUGGCUUGUUGGCAAAGAUCUGGCUUAUUGUGCAGAUAGGAAGAAUAAGUUACCGCGGGGAUAACAGCGUAAUCUUCUUGGAGAGUUCAUAUUGAGAAGAGGGUUUGCGACCUCGAUGUUGGAUUAAGAUUUCCUGAGGGUGCAGAAGCCUUUAAGGGUUAGUCUGUUCGACUAUUAAAAUCUUACA
rnacentral:rRNA from 1 species